rnacentral:rRNA from 1 species
GAUGAACGCUGGCGGCGUGCCUAAUACAUGCAAGUCGAGCGAACAGACGAGGAGCUUGCUCCUCUGACGUUAGCGGCGGACGGGUGAGUAACACGUGGAUAACCUACCUAUAAGACUGGGAUAACUUCGGGAAACCGGAGCUAAUACCGGAUAAUAUAUUGAACCGCAUGGUUCAAUAGUGAAAGACGGUUUUGCUGUCACUUAUAGAUGGAUCCGCGCCGCAUUAGCUAGUGGGUAAGGUAACGGCUUACCAAGGCAACGAUGCGUAGCCGACCUGAGAGGGUGAUCGGCCACACUGGAACUGAGACACGGUCCAGACUCCUACGGGAGGCCGCAGUAGGGAAUCUUCCGCAAUGGGCGAAAGCCUGACGGAGCAACGCCGCGUGAGUGAUGAAGGUCUUCGGAUCGUAAAACUCUGUUAUUAGGGAAGAACAAAUGUGUAAGUAACUAUGCACGUCUUGACGGUACCGAAUCAGAAAGCCCCGGCUAACUACGUG